UACCAGCACCCCGAGUGGUUGGGACGUUUAUUGGGCCUAAAGCAUCCGUAGCCGGUUCUACAAGUCUUCCGUUAAAUCCAACUGCUUAACAGGUGGGCUGCGGAAGAUACUAUAGAGCUAGGAGGCGGGAGAGGCAAGCGGUACUCGAUGGGUAGGGGUAAAAUCCGUUGAUCCAUUGAAGACCACCAGUGGCGAAGGCGGCUUGCCAGAACGCGCUCGACGGUGAGGGAUGAAAGCUGGGGGAGCAAACCGG
rnacentral:rRNA from 1 species